AGCCGUAUUCCUUAGAGAAAGCAUGUCUCAGGGUCGCGCGGCCCCGGCAAACGAGGUUUCCCUGGAAGAAUUAAGUAGUUGGCCGGAGGAACUAUGCCGCCAGGAACUUCCGUCCGUCUUGCCCCGGCUCCUUUCUAUGUAUCAACAUUCUGACAGUUGGAUUGAGCAUAUGCGAAUUCUGAAAAUUAUUGUAGAAAUGUUUCUACCUCAUAUGAACUACCUGACAUUGGAACAGACUUUCUUUUCUAAAGUACUACCAAAGACUGUGGAAUUAUUUGAUGGCAUGAUGUAUGAAUUAACCAGUCAAGCAAGAGAACUAUCCAGCCAAAAUUCAGAAAUCCAGAGUACGCUAAGGAAUAUUUUAAAAACAAUGGUGCAGGUCUUAGGAGCUCUUACAGGAUGUGUUCAGCAUAUCUGCGCCACACAGGAAUCUAUCAUUCUAGAAAAUAUUCACAGUCUCCCUUCCUCAGUCCUUCAUGUAAUUAAAAGUACAUUUGUACAUUGUAAGAACAGUGAAUCUGUCUAUUCUGGGCGUUUACAUCUGGUUUCAGACCUUCUCCAGGCUCUUUUCAAGGAAGCCUAUUCUCUUCAAAAGCAACUAAUGGAAUUGCUGGAUAUGGUUUGCCUGGACCCUUUGGUGGAUGAGAAUGAUAAUAUUUUGGAUAUGGUAAUAGUGAUUCAUUCAUUGCUGGAUAUCUGCUGUGUUAUUUCCAGUAUGGACCAUGCAUUUCAUGCCAAUACUUGGAAGUUUAUAAUUAAGCAGAGCCUUAAGCACCAGUCUGUUAUAAAGAGCCAGUUGAAACACAAAGAUAUAAUUACUGGUUUGUGUGAAGACAUUCUUCUCUCCUUCUAUUCUUGUUUACAGUUAGCUGAGCAGAUGACACAGUCAGACUUACAGGAUAAUGCUGACUACAGAUUAUUCCAUAAAACACUCAAAUUGUGUCGUUUCUUUGCCAACUCCCUUUUGCAUUACACUAAGGAAUUUCUUCCUUUCCUCUCUGAUUCUUGCUGUGCAUUGCACCAGCUUUAUCUUCAGAUACACAGCAAAUUUCCUCCGAGCCUAUAUGCUGCCAUGGUUUCGAAAACACAGCAGGAGGAAAUAGCAGGUAUUUUCCUAGUGACACUGGAUCCACUCAUCACUCAGCUUCUCACAUUCCAACCUUUUGUGCAAGUGGUUUUGGACAGUAAAUUAGACCUGCCAUGUGAACUACAGUUACCACAAUGUCUACUUCUGGUUGCCAUCAUGGAUAAGCUACCUUCUCAGCCUUUGGAUGUGCAGACUCUGUGGUGCACAGAAAGCCAGUUCUCAGAAGCCACAGCCAGGGUAUCUCUACUCAAAGCCAUUUUCUACAGUUUUGAGCAGUGUUCUGGUGAACUCUCUCUACCUGUUCAUUUACAGGGUGUAAAGAGUAAAGGGCAAGCUGAGGUUGCUGUCACCUUAUAUCAGCAUGUUUGUGUUCAUCUAUGUACAUUUAUUGCUUCUUUUCAUCCUUCACUGUUUCCUGAACUGGAUGCUGCUCUGUUGAAUGCUGUGCUUAGUGCUAAAAUGAUCACCUCUUUGUUAGCAAUGGAUGCGUGGUGUUUCCUUGCUCGAUACGGGACUGCUGAACUCUGUGCACACCAUGUCAGCAUAGUGGCUCAUUUGGUAAAAUCUUGCCCUGGAGAAUGUUAUCAACGCACUAAACUAUCAGUAUUGUUGAGGCGUCUGUUCUUCUUCAUGGCCCCACCCCAUCAGGUAGAGUUUAUCCAGAAAUUUUCCCCAAAAGAAGCAGAAAAUCUGCCUCUGUGGCAGUAUAUUUCCUUCCAGGCUUUAUCUGCUGACAUUAGGAAACAAACUGCAAGUGAGGUCACAAGAGUGAGCAUUGCACUUUGCAGGAAAUGGCUGAGUAGCAGUCAUACUUUGGGAGAACUUGAGUCUCUGAACACUGCACUUUCCACUUUACUUGCUGUUUGUAAUUCUUCUGGUGAAGCUUUGGAUAUUGGACAACAAACUGCAGUUAUGGAAGUUGGAAGUCAGCUGUGGGCUUUUUUAAAUAUUGAACAGGUAACUGCUCAACUUUAUGUUCAACAGACACUCAGCCUUUUACUUCCACUACUGGGAUUUUUCAUUCAAACUCUAGAUCCUAAGCUGAUAAGUCAGAUGGUAACUUUGCAGACCUCACUACUUGAAUUACAGCCUCCUGACCAUGUACGUUUGGCAAUGCUGGAUUUUCUGUCUUCUCUAGGAAAGCUUUUUAUACCGCAAGCUAUCCAGGACAAAAUUCUGCCCAGCCUGUCUUGUAUUUUUGCCUUACUGCUAGCUGACAGGAAUUGGUUGCUAGAGCAGCAUACCUUAGAGGCAUUUACUCAGUUUGCUGAGGGAACAAAUCAUGAAGAGAUAAUUCCACAGUGUCUCAGUUCUGAAGACACUAAGAACAAAGUUGUAUCCUUUUUGGAGAAGACUGUGUUUGUGGAUGAAUCGGAGGCUGCCAGAGUGGAACGUGUUAAACAGGAAAAAGGUAUUUUCUGGGGACCCUUUGCUAAAGUGACUACAGAAGAAGCAAGGGGGUCAUCCUUACAGCCUUGUGUAAAAAGAGCUCGUCAUGAGUUCCCCUUGAAAGAAGAGUACAAGUCAGCCUUACAAACAGCAAAAGGGGCUUUGGAGACAAUUGAGUCAUUACUCCAAAAAUCUCCUGCUCCAGACUGGCUCCUAAUGGAAAUAGAUGCAUUUCAGGAAAGGAUUGAUAAGCUAAAACAUCAUAUACUCCAAGGUGAAACUUGAAUGGACUGGACCAUACUAUCAUUGGACAGAACUGGGCUUGAUGCUUUGUCAAUCCAUGUUAUAUUUUAAUUGUCCUGGAAAAAACAGAAAAUUCAACCUUUCCACAGCUACUUGCUCUUCAUAGAAAUUGGCCUCAGUCAAAUGCACACAGGCUCUUUCUCCUAGAAACUAGUAUUGUGAGUCUCUUUCCCAUGUAUAGUUUUUAGCCAGCACUUGAGGUCUCACACAUGUGGGCAGACUAGAAAAAGAGCUCCUGGUAUAGGAAAAACAGGUUCCUUUUGGGUCUUUUGAGGUAUUAGAUUUAAAGACAGAAAAAAAGAAUCUUUUUUUCUUAAAGUUUAAUUCACAACUGGUGUCACCAGUUAUCUUCCCAGUUCAGCUCCCCUUCUUCUCCCCAGCCUUCAGCCUCUCCCUGCAACAAGAUAAAACACACCGAAAGCAACUUACUGAAGCAGAUCAUAUCCAAAUUUUAAAAAUCAGGAGCUUAAGAGCAAUAGGGGCUUAUUACUUGUCUUUGAUUUCUCAGGCUAAGUAAAAUAACUUAAAGCUAUAAUUGAAAGCUGACUAAAGAGGAUUACUUUUAUUCCAGGGUCACAAAACCACAUAGUUGGCAAGUAACUUUUCAAGGAUCAUAUAAUCCAAUAAUAUCAGUCUGGUGACACCAUAUUCUUGGUUUAAUCCCUUUUCUUCCAAAACAAAAGUUACUCAUGUAAUAAAUGAACCUUUAAAUACUUAGCACAAGCAUCACUAUGUUUUUCUGAUGAAGGAAAGAGAGCAUUUCUAGGAACUGAUUUUAUUCAAUUUAUGCUGUACUUAGUCAUUUUUACCAGUUGUAUACAUCAGCCUUUUCCCUCACUGGGAAAACAGCAUGUUGUUAUUAAUGAGGCAGUGUAACUGAGACCUGUGAAGGAAAUGCUUAAACUAACAGCACAAUUAAUCCUCACCUCAGUAAUUUCUGCUGCAGCAAAUUUUGAGGAAAACUGCAUCACUGAUGAGCCAUCAUCCUUGUUAGGAACCAUCAUUUCUGUCCUCAGUUCAGGUAAAAUAAGAAAAGCAGCUGAAGGUUUAAUUUCUGGGAUCAUAUCAGCAAACCAAUCCAAUUCAGGAUCCUGCACUGGCUUCUUUUUCACUUGAAUGGUAAACUCCUCUCCUAAACCAAGUUCUGAUGGAACCUUACGAGGCCUUUCUUGUGAGAACACUUUUGGUGACUUUAUCUGCUUUGAGUCAUCCCUGCUUUGUACAAGACUGGUUUUUGGGGACAGGCUUGAUUUCAAAGGCUUAGCCUCCUCAGUGAGUGGAAGUGAAGUAGGAAUGGAUGUUUGCUCCCCUAAGGUAACAGGUCUUGUAGCAGUGAUCCCACCUCCUGGGUUUAUUUUAGAAUCCAAGCUACUGAGCUCAAAGUCAUCCCAUGACUCCUCCUCUGCAUUCAGGUUAGUAAACAGUGACUUGGCAGCAUCACAUGGCUCUCUAGGCCAAAUUUGUUUGUUGACAGUUUUGUUUUCAGGCUCCUCGGGCUCGCUCCAGUCAGGCCACUCUUCAGACUUUUUAGAGCUGAAGUUCUCACUGUCCUGUCUAAUAUUUUCCACAUCUGAGAUGCCAUUCAUGGGAAAAUGAAUAGGCUGAGAAAACUGAUCACCUAAGGGGAUAUGUACAAGAAUUAUUGUGAUAAAUUGUUGGUUCAGAGCAAACAAUAUAUAUUUAGGGGAAGGUUAGCACUAACCCAAGCUAAAGAAUUACAGAUAUGAUGAUUUGGAAAUAUCCAUGCACACUAAACUGCAGAAGAGAUGAUAUCCUAGUAGAAUAUAACUCAAUAUAAAAGAUGUCAUGUAAGUUACUCAAAUACUUGAAUUGUAAUACAUUGGAAACAUACUAAGUAACAACUAACCAGAGCAUCCAGUCCUUUAAUAAAUAUUCAAACAUUCUAUUUAUUGGUAUACUUGUCUUUCAACAAUACAGAAUACUCUAAACCAGACACUGUUUCCCUCAAGAUUUUAAUUACAUAUACCCUGAAAAAGUGUUGGGUGUUUAAAUAAGUUUGCCUAACCCAACAUAGUCUAUAGUUUUAAACAGAUUUCCUUACAUGUAAUCAAGGCACUAAGUCUUAUGCAAAAUGUUAUGCAUUUCUGCUACCAACAUUUUGCUAAACAUAUUUAACCACAGAACUCUAUUUUUUUUUUCAUUAUGACAACUCUUUACAUCUUCCAGAAAUAUUGUUCUUCAGUACAAUUUGGGAUAUACUGCACUAAGGCAUCACAAGUCCCAAAAAAGAAUUCAGGUAGUGUCAACCUGCUCUUCUCAUCAGUUAAGAGGAAAGAGGGUGGGCAUAUAUCCAAUAACCCAGGGAAACAAGAUAAGGUCAAAGAUGACUAUAUAAUUAUAAAUAAUGAAAGAAAUCAGUCUCAAAAUUCCCCAAGUGCCCUUACUUUCAGAAUUUAAACGUAUUACUCUCGGGAAAGCAUUCAUUCAACCAAUAGAAAGGCUAUAUAAAUUUAAUAUUUCUACCUGUCUGCAAAACAGUAUUGUAGUAAUCUUGCUGCAUGUGCUUCUUGCUGUUGAUGGGCAUGUUGCCAGAAAAUAAAUAUUUAGGGAACAUGCUAGAGGAGGGUUUCUCUGAGAUUGGCAAGAUCUGACUGUGCUGGCUGCAGACGACGUGCGUGGGAGAAUCUGAAGGUAAAAAAAAAAUCCAUAAAAUGAAAGGGAUAGUAAACUGUUUCUUGUGACAUGCUAGGUAAGAAAUGGUUAAGGGAAAUGGGCAUAUUUAACACAAAUAAAAGAUAAGUUGCAGGGAUAGCACAUCUUCAAAUAUUUGAAGAAAUAUACCUAUUAUGAAAUGGACUGCCUGGCCCUAGAGAUGUUUAAACACAGGCUGGCUGUCCACAUGGUGGUGAUGGAACAGAAAGGAUUCAAAUAUUAGAUGGGAGUUGAAUUAGGUAACCUUUAGGAUAUCUCGUUAUAAUAGUUACAGCCUUUAAAUACAUACUGAUGGUAAUUUGAAACUGUAAUUGAUUCUACCUUUUGCCCCUUCUCCCAAGUCCUUCAGUAGAAGGCUGUUUUUGGAGUGUAGGCUGCAGCCAGGGCUCACAAUUCAUCUUCAAUGAAGAGUCUUAAAAGUCAGUGAGAUUAGACCUACGAUUUGUCUUAUAUUUUCAUUAAUGUCUAAAGAAAAACUAAUCUAUUACUGGUGCUUUGGUGUCUUUCUGGUUUCUUACUAAGAUUAGGGUAAUCCAUUUGGAUGCAAAUAAAUGAGUAUAAUGCGAACAACUAGAAAAUUCCAUUCAACAAAUAAAACUAAUAUUAGGAAUGGGUUUUUUGUUAUUGUUAAUUUAGCAUGCAAAGUUGCUCUACACUCUGCCUCAAAACUGUAUCCCCCACACACCUCCCAGAAUUCCUCUUGUAUGAUAUUUAAAUAAAUCUCUCAUUUGCUUUUU